GGGGAUCUAGCUCAUCGGUAGAGCGCUCGCUUAGCAUCUUCUAACCAUCUUCUAACCAAGAAUGCGCGAGGUGCAGGGUUCGACUCCCUGGUUCUCCA
rnacentral:tRNA from 1 species